rnacentral:rRNA from 1 species
UCGAUUGUUUGAUCAUGGCUCAGGACGAACGCUGGCGGCGUGCUUAACACAUGCAAGUCGAGCGAGGCCCUUCCUUCGGGAAGGUGCCCUAGCGGCGAACGGGUGAGUAACACGUGGGCAACCUGCCCCUAGCACUGGGAUAACUCCGGGAAACCGGGGCUAAUACCGGAUAUGACCUCGGAGGGCAUCCUCCCUGGUGCAAAGGAUUCUGGCUAGGGAUGGGCCCGCGGCCUAUCAGCUUGUUGGUGGGGUAAUGGCCUACCAAGGCGACGACGGGUAGCCGGCCUGAGAGGGCGACCGGCCACACUGGGACUGAGACACGGCCCAGACUCCUACGGGAGGCAGCAGUGGGGAAUAUUGCACAAUGGGCGAAAGCCUGAUGCAGCGACGCCGCGUGAGGGAUGACUGCCUUCGGGUUGUAAACCUCUUUCAGCAGGGACGAAGCGAAAGUGACGGUACCUGCAGAAGAAGCACCGGCCAACUACGUGCCAGCAGCCGCGGUGAUACGUAGGGUGCAAGCGUUGUCCGGAAUUAUUGGGCGUAAAGAGCUCGUAGGCGGCUUGUCGCGUCGGCUGUGAAAACCUGGGGCUCAACCCCGGGCCUGCAGCCGAUACGGGCAAGCUAGAAUUCGGUAGGGGAGACUGGAAUUCCUGGUGUAGCGGUGAAAUGCGCAGA